GCUCACCGUCAGGGAGGAAAGGCAGCUAGGACCGUACGGCUGGGCUGCGAAGAGACGCUGGGGGAGACCGGGGCUCAGGUCGCCUACACCUUCUCCUGCAGCGGACACAGCGCAGCGGGCGGCGCACCGGCCGCAUCGGCUAUCCUGCGCGCAGGGAGAAGGAGGAGAGUGGCUCAAGGAGACUUGAUUUUCUUGGAUUGGCUGCAGUUCUUUAAGCCAAGCCAGGUUUUCGGGGCGUUAAAGUAAAUUGCGGGUGGCAGUGUGGAAGCCAAAACGGGAGCUUCCCGAAGUGCUUUCUGAAAAAUAAAGAUAAGCUAGUACAGGAAUCAGAAAAACCACAGGUAUGUAGAACAAUUAAUACACCUAGCCGGCUUUAUAAUUAUUGCAUUCCAGUAUCUUGCCAUUUAUAUAGACUUUUAUGAAGUGAAACCUAUUUUGAG